UACGUAUGGUGCAAGCGUUAUCCGGAUUUACUGGGUGUAAAGGGAGCGCAGGCGGCGCGUUAAGCCUGGUGUGAAAGCCCGCGGCCCAACCGCGGGACUGCAUUGGGAACUGGCGCGCUGGAGUGCCAGAGGGGUAGGCGGAAUUCCUAGUGUAGCGGUGAAAUGCGUAGAUAUUAGGAGGAACACCAGUGGCGAAGGCGGCCUACUGGACGGUGACUGACGCUGAGGCUCGAAAGCGUGGGGAGCAAACAGG
rnacentral:rRNA from 1 species